rnacentral:rRNA from 1 species
AAUCAACGCUGGCGGCGUGCCUCAGACAUGCAAGUCGAACGAUUAAAGCUCUCUUCGGAGAGUGUAUAGAGUGGCGCACGGGUGAGUAACGCGUAAGUAAUCUACCCUCGAGUGGGGAAUAACGUUCGGAAACGAACGCUAAUACCGCAUAAUGCAGCGGCAUCGCAAGAUGACAGUUGUUAAAGGAGUAAUUCGCUUGAGGAGGAGCUUGCGGCAGAUUAGCUAGUUGGUAAGGUAACGGCUUACCAAGGCUACGAUCUGUAUCCGGUCUAAGAGGACGGUCGGACACACUGACACUGAAUAACGGGUCAGACUCCUACGGGAGGCAGCAGUCGGGAAUUUUGGGCAAUGGGCGAAAGCCUGACCCAGCAACGCCGCGUGAAGGAUGAAGUAUUUCGGUAUGUAAACUUCGAAAGAAUGGGAAGAAUAAAUGACGGUACCAUUUAUAAGCUCCGGCUAACUACGUGCCAGCCGCCGCAGUAAGAC